rnacentral:lncRNA from 1 species
AUGGGAUGGGAACUGGAGGCUGCGGCAGAGGCCCUGGUGGGGAGCUGGAGACAGACAGAGGGGGCACUGCCGGGCUCCCAAGCGCUGUUUGUUGCACACUUGAAAAUGUGCCAGGACUGGAAUUGUGGAACAAGAAACUGUGGCCUUGAAUGUUCAAAACUAAAAGGAAUGUACAGGAGACAAAACGGACGAGACAAUGUGACGCGGCAGCAUCAGAAUGUUUCAGCUGUGACUUUUCCCCAGGAUUGUUGGAUAAGGGUUGUUACACUAACUGCAGUGAUUCAUAUGCAGCACCAGGCCUCCUUAGGACAUGGCCUUCAUGGACAUUUUAAAAAGUGGUGUCUCCGUACUUUAAACAAAGCUUUUACUCAGAUUUGAUAAACUUUUGAAUAAACAUGUUACCCAAAUGGGCAAUCUGUAUUACUGUUUAUGAAGUUCAAAGCAGGUCACAUAUUGAAAGCUUUCCUGGCUGUUAGUUCAGAAGGUCAGUUCUGCUGUUGGAAUAAAGCCUAAAAUCACUGCAAGUUAAAUUCGGUUCAGAGCAGUAUUACAGAAAGGGAUUAUUUUGUAAGGUGUGGGUAUUUUUUGUUUGUUUUGUUUUUAAUUUUGUGAGUCUUGUAUUAGGGCAGCAAGAGAGAAUACAAUAUAAAUCUGGAGGAUUAAUUAUCUAACAGGAUACUUUGCACAUUGUUUAAAUUCAAGUUCUUAUGUACACAUGUAAAAGCAAUACAUUGAAGACUGACC